GAAAUGCGAUACGUAAUGUGAAUUGCAGAAUUCAGUGAAUCAUCGAAUCUUUGAACGCACCUUGCGCCCCUUGGUAUUCCGAGGGGCACACCCGUUUGAGUGUCGUGAAAAUAUCAACCUUUUUGGUUUCUGCUGAACACCAAAGGAGGCUUGGACUUUGGAGGCCUUUGCUGGCACCUCUCUCUUUUGAGAGCCAGCUCCUCUUAAAUGAAUUAGUGGGGUCCUCUUUGCCAACCCUCGACAUGUGAUAAGAUGUUUCCAUGUCUUGGUUUCUGGCUCUGUUGCUUUUGGGACCUGCUUCUAACCAUCUCAACCUUGUGUCGAGACGACGUUCGAGGGCGUCUCCCUUCUCGGGAAAUGCUCUCAACCCCACGAACCCUUGACCUCAAAUCGGGUGAGACUACCCGCUGAACUUAA
rnacentral:rRNA from 1 species